AAUUACUGGGCGUAAAGCGCACGCAGGCGGUUUGUUAAGUCAGAUGUGAAAUCCCCGGGCUCAACCUGGGAACUGCAUCUGAUACUGGCAAGCUUGAGUCUCGUAGAGGGGGGUAGAAUUCCAGGUGUAGCGGUGAAAUGCGUAGAGAUCUGGAGGAAUACCGGUGGCGAAGGCGGCCCCCUGGACGAAGACUGACGCUCAGGUGCGAAAGCGUGGGGAGCAAACAGGAUUAGAUACCCUGGUAGUCCACGCCGUAAACGAUGUCGACUUGGAGGUUGUGCCCUUGAGGCGUGGCUUCCGGAGCUAACGCGUUAAGUCGACCGCCUGGGGAGUACGGCCGCAAGGUUAAAACUCAAAUGAAUUGACGGGGGCCCGCACAAGCGGUGGAGCAUGUGGUUUAAUUCGAUGCAACGCGAAGAACCUUACCUGGUCUUGACAUCCACAGAACUUUCCAGAGAUGGAUUGGUGCCUUCGGGAACUGUGAGACAGGUGCUGCAU
rnacentral:rRNA from 1 species